rnacentral:rRNA from 1 species
UACGGGGGGAGCAAGCGUUGUUCGGAUUUACUGGGCGUAAAGGGCGCGUAGGCGGCCACGACAAGUCACUUGUGAAAUCUCCGGGCUUAACUCGGAACGGUCAAGUGAUACUGUCGGGCUAGAGUACAGAAGGGGCAACUGGAAUUCUCGGUGUAGCGGUGAAAUGCGUAGAUAUCGAGAGGAACACCUGCGGCGAAGGCGGCAUCCUGGACCGAGAUUGACGCUGAUGAGCGAAAGCUAGGGGAGCAAACGGG